CAGUAGCCGCGGGAAUACGAAGGGUGCAAGCGUUAAUCGGAUUUACUGGGCGUAAAGGGCGCGUAGGUGGUUAUUUAAGUGAGAUGUGAAAGCCCCGGGCUUAACCUGGGAACUGCAUCUUAUACUGGGUAACUGGAGUGCAGUAGAGGGUAGUGGAAUUUCCGGUGUAGCGGUGAAAUGCGUAGAGAUCGGGAGGAACAUCAGUGGCGAAGGCGGCCAUCUGGGACAACACUGACGCUGAGGCACGAAAGCGUGGGGAGCAAACAGGAUUAGAUACCCGGGUAGUCCCUGUCUCUUAUAC
rnacentral:rRNA from 1 species